AUUGAACGCUGGCGGAAUGCUUUACACAUGCAAGUCGAGCGGCAGCGCGGGGCAACCUGGCGGCGAGCGGCGAACGGGUGAGUAAUGCAUCGGAACAUGUCCAUGUCGUGGGGGAUAGCCCGGCGAAAGCCGGAUUAAUACCGCAUACGCCCGAGAGGGGAAAGCAGGGGACCGCAAAGGCCUUGCGCGAUUGGGUUGGCCGAUGUCCGAUUAGCUUGUUGGUGAGGUAAAGGCUUACCAAGGCGAUGAUCGGUAGCUGGUCUGAGAGGAUGAUCAGCCACACUGGGACUGAGACACGGCCCAGACUCCUACGGGAGGCAGCAGUGGGGAAUUUUGGACAAUGGGGGCAACCCUGAUCCAGCCAUUCCGCGUGAGUGAAGAAGGCCUU
rnacentral:rRNA from 1 species